CCACUUUAGUUUUUGCUGUUUCGUUUCCUUCUCAUUCCCGUCUCCUUCGAUCUCUCUCUACCCCGAUCGAUGUCUGUCCUGCUUCACGGAUUUGUCUGUCUCUGAAUCGAUACGUCAGCGCGAUUGUGUGGCUUCGCAUGUUAAUUGGGUGGAUCUGCCUCUCGAUUAGAUCGGUGAAUCGUUCUGGGUCGAACAUCAAAACCCUAGAAUUUGCGAUUCGGUGUUCACGGAUUAGGGAUGAUUUUUGGUGGAUGAAUGAUUGAGGAUUAGGGUUUUUGGUGGAUUUAGGUGCUUGGGAUUGGAGAGAUUUGGCGUUGCAAGGGUUUUCGAAUUCGCCACGCGGAAAAGGGGAUAAGUUUGUGAAAGGAGGCUAGGAUUGAUGGUACUCGAAGGGGAAAAUGCAAGGUGGCUAUGCAUGGGAGGGCAUGUGAGGAGAGGAAAAAGGGACGGCACAUGUGGAAAAUUCCCUCGCGUGCAACUGCGAGUGUGAAAGCUAUUGCUUCUUCUUCUUCUGCUACGUCUUCGACGCUUUUGCUGUCCUCGUCGCCUAACUCAUUCUUCAAGAAAUUUUGUUGCUUUUGGAAGCUCGUUGAGGGAGGAAUUGUGUCGAAGCUAGAGAUACUUUGACUCAGGGAAGGUGUGAGCUACGGAGUUGUGUAGAAUUGUGAGAGAAUGGAGAUGCAAUGGCUAGAAGUUACUGUUUUAGCCACAUCUUGAUUUCAUUCGAUUUUCGAAUCUUGCAAGUUGUAGUCCUUGGAGCUUCUUAAAUUUGUGGCCUAUUGCGCCCUUGCUUCUUGUU